GACGAACGCUGGCGGCGUGCUUAACACAUGCAAGUCGAACGGAAAGGCCCCCUUGUGGGGUACUCGAGUGGCGAACGGGUGAGUAACACGUGAGUAACCUACCCUUGACUUUGGGAUAACUUCAGGAAACUGGGGCUAAUACCGGAUAGGAGCUCCUGCUGCAUGGUGGGGGUUGGAAAGUUUCGGCGGUUGGGGAUGGACUCGCGGCUUAUCAGCUUGUUGGUGGGGUAGUGGCUCACCAAGGCUUUGACGGGUAGCCGGCCUGAGAGGGUGACCGGCCACAUUGGGACUGAGAUACGGCCCAGACUCCUACGGGAGGCAGCAGUGGGGAAUAUUGCACAAUGGGCGGAAGCCUGAUGCAGCAACGCCGCGUGCGGGAUGACGGCCUUCGGGUUGUAAACCGCUUUCGCCUGUGACGAAGCGUGAGUGACGGUAAUGGGUAAAGAAGCGCCGGCUAACUACGUG
rnacentral:rRNA from 1 species